CGUGUAUGGUCUGAGGUAUUAACUUAUCCCAAUAUUUGUACUAAAAUGGCGGGAUUACUAUCUCAUAUAAAAGGUGGAUAAAAUAAUAUCAUGAGAUAUCCUUACUUAUUCUGUCCCACGGACAACACGACCCGUGGAGGUUCUGAUGGUGUUGGGAUAUGGGUCUUUGUCCCUUCCUAUGUGGAUAAAUAAAGUUCAGUUUGGACCAACCCACUUUUGCCGAUAGACCCAUUACUAUGGGGCAUAUAUAUAUAAAUAUAUGUAUGUGUGUGUGUAUAUAUAUAUAUAUAUGACAUGUAUGGUCUGAAACAAGACCUAAAAAGAUCUCUCUCUCUUAGCUCCCAAAGUUGUAUUAUAAGAAAGAUCUCUCUCUCUUAGCUCCCAAAGUUGUAUUUUAUUUUCUUAUUGUAUUUGAGUUUUUGUAUGGUGGUCUUAAAUGUUGCCUAUUGUUUGUCAUUGUUAUUAGUAGGUAUUGGUGUGUUUACUUCAAACUCCUUGUUCUCAUCUAGAGUUAGGUGAUAUUAAAGUUAGAAUUAGCUUUUACUCAAUUAGAGUUAGUUAGAUAGUGAUGCAGUAAAGUUACUGCAAAUUUCUCAUUGUAAUAAAGGUAUUACUAGGAGAAGAAGGAUUAGGAGGUUAAUCCUUAAUGUAAUGGAUUUGAUUCAAGUUGCUUGCAUAUUAUUGGAGCUUAGAAGUCUGAAUGCAGGUCGUGGUUUUUCUUCCUUGAGCAAGGAGUUUCCACAUAAAAUUAUUAGCGGGAUCUUCCUAAAUAAGGUUAACAUCUUGAAAGGAUCUUGAACAUGGCUGGUCCUCCAAAUCUUGAAGAAGGGGUCAGUCUACCACUAGACCACCUAGAUUCAAUAGAGUAUUAUAAGUGGUGAAAAACUAGGAUAUAUAUAUAUAUAUAUAUGUAGAGAGAGAGAACUUUUUAGGUCUUAUUUCACAUCCACAAAAGAGUUCUUAGCAGCCACAAAAGAGAUUAGGUUAGAUUUUCGCACUAAAAUUCCAGUCACAGCAGUCAACUUCAAAUUACGAUUUUUGCUUCGUUUCUUGUCCGAUUGAGCUAAUUUUUGGACAGCUUGUUCCUCUCAUCUCAAUCUUUGAUUAAAAACUGACGGGGUUGAAUUUGAUGGUCUAUAGCUCCUGUUUUUUAUUCCCGGACAGCAGCUACAUUUUUGGUGUUUGUGCUCCUUUUUAUUCUCUAGUUUUGGUGUUAUUUUGUUGUGUUGUUGCUCGUUAUUUGAAACUUGUUUUGUGGCCAUUUUGGAGAAUAAUAUUGUAAUUCUUGAUGGUUAUAGUGGAGGUUUUGGUCCCGUGGUGUUUUACUCUUCCCAUCGAAGGGUUUUCUAUGUAAAUUUGGUAUCUCUUGUUAUUGAUUUUAUUCUCGUCUUGUCAUAUUUAUUUGGUUGAAUUAUUUCUUUCAUAUACUAUUGUGCUUGGGUUUGUUAGUCUCCUCUUGGUUCAAAUUAUAAGGGAGAGUUAGACUUGGAUAUUCUUCCGCUGCUACCCUGUCGUGCACUUUGUUAGUACCCCUGCCUUUGCUAACAGAUGGAACAGUUUGAGGUGAAGGUUUAUGUGGAUGAGUUGAUUAGCAGUAUCUUGGUAGUAGUUUCCAAAGAGAGAGGUGCAUACUCGCAUUUCCAAAUUCAUGAUCUUGUGCAUGAUCUUUGUUUGAUAAGUCCAAGUGGUCUGUCAUCGUCUUCAUCAAAUCUAAUGCCACGUGGAAUGACUGUUCAUUAUGAUCAACAUUUACCUCAUUCGGAUGUAAACUUUUUCUUGCUCAAUCCGGUAAAGAAAAAUCCUUAUGUCAAAUGCCUCCGGUCUUUGACGGUAUACAUGAUGUUAAGUCCUUAGUUUUGAUGAUUGACAAAUUACAUGUUGGGACCUAGUUCAAUGUGUGAUGACAAAGCUGUAACUACUUAGGGACCUGGUUGGGCCUACACGUUGCUGUCUCAAUCAACUAUAUAGCUGGACGAAAGUACAAAGAUUGGUGGAAAGCUGUUGCAACCUUUUUUGUCUCGGCCAAUGGGAUUCAUCCUAGGUUGUCUUGUGUUAUAUAUACAUUGAUCAUCUUCCACAACAAGAAAAUCAAGGCUUCCAUAUACUCACAACAACAUAUCUCUCUUGAAGCUCUUGAAUCAAUGACUUAUUCGCAACAAGAAACUGAUAGCUCACAAAGUUGUAUUUAUUUCCUUAUUAGUAGGUGUUGGUGCGUUUACUUCAAACUCUUUUUUCUCAUCUAGAGUUAGGUGAUAUUAAAGCUAGAGUUAGCUUUUAGUUAGUUACAGUUAGCUGGGUAGUGGUGCAGUAGAGUUACUGCAAAUUUCUCUUUGUAAUAAAGGUAUUACUAGGAGAAGAAGGAUUAGGAAGUUAAUCCUUGAUGUAAUGGAUUUGUAUUCAAGUUGCUUGAAUAUUAUUGGAGCUUAGAAAUCUGAAUGCAGGUCGUGGUUUUUCUUC